rnacentral:rRNA from 1 species
AUGAAUCGGCAAUGGAUGUACGGUAACCGACUCUCCCGCGAGUUCACUACGGGUUUGAAAGAUUUCCUCGUAGUGGCUAAUGUGAACAAGCAGAAGGGUUUUGUUAUCUGUCCAUGUGUUGACUGUAAGAAUCAGAAGGGUUACUCUUCCUCAAGAGAAGUUCACCUGCACCUGCUUCGGCACGGUUUCAUGCCAAGCUAUAAUUGUUGGACCAAGCAUGGAGAAAGAGGGGUUAUAAUGGAAGAAGAUGAAGAAGGGGAUGAUUUCAUCGAUGAAAGCUAUCUUGCUCAUUUCGGUGAUACUUUCAUGGAGGAUGCUGAAGGUGAA